AGCUCCAAGAAUACGUGGAGGAGGUAGCCCGGGUUGGUGUCGGCGCCGUCCAGUGCGGGCCAUGGGCCCACUUCCAAGUGUGUCGGCGCGCCGGCCACCCACGCCGGGUCCUUCAAGUGCCGCUUCCACCGCACCAACUCCCAGGGCCACGGCCACGACCAGGGCCAGGGAAGCCGCCCUUCUUCGCCCCCUUCACCGGCCGCGAACGCGGUGCCGCGGCACCCGGCCUCGCCGUCCUCGUCCUCCGGCACCGUCGCGACCCAGUGA
rnacentral:rRNA from 1 species